rnacentral:lncRNA from 1 species
GCUUCUUGUGAUGUCGGUGUCCUCCAUGAUCCCGAUUUCUGUCGUCUAACGAUGCCCGGGAACCUCUUAAGGGCCUGACUCGAAGCCAUCAUACUUUUAAGCUUGUCAAUAAAACUCCAGGAGCCCUUUGGACCUUCUAGAUUUGUUUGAUACUCACAGAUGUGCGGAUAAAAUCAGACAACUUCUGCCUUUUCUCCUCAAAGCUGACAACUGUUGAUUUUUGAAAGAUUUUGUUAUUAUUUUUUAUUAACCGGAAUAGUCCUUACUUUUAAUUUUAAAUUAUGAACCCUUGAGUCAUCCAGAUUGAUUUAAAGUCAAGUCCACGAUUUUAUCUCUCACACUGUAUCCCUCUAUAGACUGGUAUAAAAAAUGAGAUGACCUAAACACCUGUGAGAAUUCGUUCAUUUCUACAUACUUUUUUACACAACUCUAUACAGAUUUAGGUGCUUUUCUAUUAUAUUCCUCUCUUUGAAAGUAUGACACCCACGCUCGAUUGUAUUGUUAUUUCUAAGUUCAAGUAUCGACACUCAAAAACGGCUAUACGUAGUACAAAGGCACAUACAUACAAACAAACUUUGCUUUAUUAACAUAAAUAUUUCAAGAUUAUAUGUAGAUGUAUUGUGACAUAUAUGUUUAUAUUAAAUAUCUACUUAUAUUUGUUCUAAAUCUUUAUUUAAUUUGCAGGAAGCCUACGUCAUUUUUUUCACAAGUGGUUUCAUCAUACUGUCAAUAGCCAUUUUUAACUUAUUUCUAAUUUCAGCUCAGGUUCAUGUAAAAGCAUUCUUAGAUGGUCUAUUCAAAAAGUACAACUUAUAUUCAAUAGAUGGUUCUACAAAGCUUGAAGCCAAGAACGGAAAUAAGGAGCAUUAAAUUUUAUCGAAGGUUCUUUUUGAUAUAAGUGCUAUGGAUGAGAUACUAAAUCAUGUAGAGUUUCUUUUUUAAUAAAAUAACAUGAAACAUAAAUUUUUUAUCAUUAUAAAACUUUUGAUCCUCCAGUUUUUAUAGUUAUUAAUAUUAAAUUGUUUGAUGAACUAAAUGUUAUAAUUUAAUAAAUAUUUGAAAAUAUGACUUUU